rnacentral:lncRNA from 1 species
UCUAAUCUCACAUCAGAAAAGCAGCAGCCACACAAUAUUAUUAUUUUCAUUCUUUACCUUCUUUAACUUCAAUUUCUCUAAAUUAAGCAAACCAAGGUUCCUUUUCAAAUGCCCAGAUCUAUUUUCAUUCUUCUCAAACUCAUCUCUACCUCUCCUUCUUUCUUCUUAAAUACCAACCUCUUUUUCUACUUUUUCAAAUACACAGAUCUGUUGUUGUUCUUAAGUUGAUAAUAGUGUAUUAAGGGAAA